rnacentral:rRNA from 1 species
GAUGAACGCUGGCGGCGUGCUUAACACAUGCAAGUCGAACGGACUUUGAAUGAAGCCUAGCGAUUUUAAAGUUAGUGGCGGACGGGUGAGUAACGCGUGGGUAACCUGCCGUAUACAGGGGGAUAACACUUAGAAAUAGGUGCUAAUACCGCAUAAGCGCACAGCUUUGCAUGAAGCAGUGUGAAAAACUCCGGUGGUAUACGAUGGACCCGCGUCUGAUUAGCUAGUUGGUGAGGUAAUGGCCCACCAAGGCGACGAUCAGUAGCCGGCCUGAGAGGGUGAACGGCCACAUUGGGACUGAGACACGGCCCAAACUCCUACGGGAGGCAGCAGUGGGGAAUAUUGCACAAUGGGGGAAACCCUGAUGCAGCGACGCCGCGUGAGUGAAGAAGUAUUUCGGUAUGUAAAGCUCUAUCAGCAGGGAAGAAAAUGACGGUACCUGACUAAGAAGCUCCGGCUAAAUACGUGCCAGCAGCCGCGGUAACAC